CCUCGGGGUUCUGCAGUGGGGAAUAUUGGACAAUGGGCGAAAGCCUGAUCCAGCCAUGCCGCGUGUGUGAAGAAGGCCUUCGGGUUGUAAAGCACUUUCAGUGGGGAAGAAAGCCUUGGGGCUAAUACCCUCGAGGAAGGACAUCACCCACAGAAGAAGCACCGGCUAACUCCGUGCCAGCAGCCGCGGUAAUACGGAGGGUGCGAGCGUUAAUCGGAAUUACUGGGCGUAAAGCGCGCGUAGGCGGUCUGAUAAGCCGGUUGUGAAAGCCCCGGGCUCAACCUGGGAACGGCAUCCGGAACUGUCAGGCUAGAGUGCAGGAGAGGAAGGUAGAAUUCCCGGUGUAGCGGUGAAAUGCGUAGAGAUCGGGAGGAAUACCAGUGGCGAAGGCGGCCUUCUGGACUGACACUGACGCUGAGGUGCGAAAGCGUGGGUAGCAAACAGGAUUAGAUACCCGAGUAGU
rnacentral:rRNA from 1 species